rnacentral:rRNA from 1 species
GUAACACGUAAAUAACCUGCCCCUAAAUUUGGGAUAACCUUUCUAACGAGAGGCUAAUACCGGAUGUGGAUAUUUGAUCUCCUGAUCGAAUAUUUAAAGAUGACCUCUUCUUGAAAGUUAUUGUUUAGGGAUGGAUUUGCGCACUAUUAGUUAGUUGGUAAGGUAAUGGCUUACCAAGACGAUGAUAGUUAGCCGACCUGAGAGGGUGAUCGGCCACAUUGGGACUGAGACACGGCCCAGACUCC